CAAACGAUUCCUCAUGGUCCUCUGGAAGAUCUCCUGCACUUCAUCUUCGUCCUUGUUGACGUUGAAAUGGCUCCGGCUGUACCUGUGUCGAUGCUGAAGAACACCAAGCAGAAGUCGGUGGAGUCAGGAUGCUGCUGCAGCAGGUGGUGCGUGUUGAUGUCCUCCAUCUGCCUCACACCCUUCAUGUUCUGCUCGUGCAUCUCCAGGCUCACAGAUGGCACCUGGUCUAUUCUCCUGCAGGGGGGAAAAGGCCUGUCAGUGGGGAUCCGGUGAGCGUUUGCUCACCCCAUCGAGGACGCCGCAGUGUGAUCGUCUGACAUGCCGGCCGUGAUGUCGGGCAGGUCGUCGACAAACUUCUUCUUGAAGUCGAUGAACGCCGUUUCGUUGCGGAC